rnacentral:rRNA from 1 species
UACAGAGGGUGCAAGCGUUGUUCGGAUUUACUGGGCGUAAAGCGCGUGUAGGCGGCUUGGCAAGUCGGAGGUGAAAGCCCACGGCUCAACCGUGGAAGCGCAUCCGAAACUGCUUCGCUCGAGUCUCGGAGAGGAAGGUGGAAUGCUUGGUGUAGAGGUGAAAUUCGUAGAUAUCAAGCAGAACACCUGCGGCGAAGGCGGCCUUCUGGACGAUGACUGACGCUGAGACGCGAAAGCGUGGGGAGCAAACAGG